UACGGAGGGUCCAAGCGUUAUCCGGAAUUAUUGGGUUUAAAGGGUCCGUAGGCGGUUUUGUAAGUCUGUGGUGAAAGCCCAUCGCUCAACGGUGGAACGGCCAUUGAUACUGCAAGACUUGAAUUAUUGGGAAGUAACUAGAAUAUGUAGUGUAGCGGUGAAAUGCUUAGAGAUUACAUGGAAUACCAAUUGCGAAGGCAGGUUACUACUAAUUGAUUGACGCUGAUGGACGAAAGCGUGGGGAGCGAACAGG
rnacentral:rRNA from 1 species